UUUAAGUGCAACCAUAAGUUUUCGUGCCCAAUUUUGAUCGUUCGUCUUAUUUGAAUUUUUUUAUACUUAGUAUUUUUAUUAUUAUGAGAUUAUAAAACAUGAAUAGUACUUUAUAUGUGACUUAUGUUUUUAUUUUUUUUAAAAAAAUCAAAUAAGACGAACGAUCAAAGUUGUGCACGGAAAAUCAUAGCUGCACUUAAA
rnacentral:pre_miRNA from 1 species